CUGUGUGAAGCAAGUAAUGUUAUUGUCGAUGAUGAAUUCUUCUACCUUUGAAUGAAGCUGAAUCACGUCGAUCGAAAAAGACUCUGCUGAGUUUUGAUUGGAUCUUGAGGCUGAUGAGAGUUUCAGAAGGGCGGCUCUGUCCAUGCCCGAUCUUCUUAACCAGUGAUACGUAUCUUCCGCAAUUUAAUAUUCUCAUAGGGUUUCAUU
rnacentral:lncRNA from 1 species